rnacentral:rRNA from 1 species
UACAGAGGGGGCAAGCGUUGUUCGGAAUUACUGGGCGUAAAGGGCGCGUAGGCGGCCCGCUAAGUCGAACGUGAAAUCCCUGGGCUCAACCCAGGAACUGCGUCCGAUACUGGCGGGCUUGAAUCCGGGAGAGGGAUGUGGAAUUCCCGGUGUAGCGGUGAAAUGCGUAGAUGUCGGGAGGAACACCUGAGGCGAAGGCGGGCUACUGGGCCGAUACUGACGCUGAUGUGCGAAAGCCAGGGGAGCGAACGGG